GCCUACCUGAGCUUCGGUGGUCCGGGGUGCAGGCUUCAAACCUGUAGCUGUCUAGCGACAGAGUGGUUCAAUUCCACCUGGUGGGCG